AUGGAUGGUGACCAAAGCUUCUUGGACACCAUUGGUUUUGGUUACACACAAACACAACCAGAUAGUCCAAUUGGAGAGCAGGCAAGUCCAUCAACUCAGCAUCGUUCUGCAAUAACAGAGAAAGGAAAAUCCAACAAAGGCAAAAAUUGGUCUUGUGAUGAGGACAAGGUUCUCAUAGCAGCAUGGGCAAAUACAAGUUUGGAUAUUAUUGGGACAGAUCAAAACUGA
rnacentral:rRNA from 1 species